CUGGGCUCGGACGGAGAGAACAGCGCGGAGAUGCCAGAUAAAGAAGUGGCUGAGGUAUAUAAAUUAAGAUAUCCAGCACCAAACAGUGUUGCCUCAAACCUGGCAUGAUGACUUGAGAACUUCCAUGCCUGCCCCAGAAGUUUCUCAGCAAGCCAACCAGUAAAAUAUUCCGAGCAUCUCUCCAGGACGAAGCUGAACCAGAGUUCACAUUUCUUAGUUGAAGUUCCCCCGAAGAGAGUCAUCCGGUAUUCCCUGAGCCUUGUGAGAUCUGCUCAACUCUCCCACCAUAUUCGGCCAUUAUUACUCUAAACAAUGCCCACCAAAGGGGAAAGAGCUUGCUGGGUUCCAGCCAUGAGCCCAGUUUCAUAGCAGCUGAAGACUCGUUACACAGUUACUCCAAUUUUGGCCACCAUGAAAGGACUCAGCCUAAUACUACAAAGCAAGAUCUUUAACACCAUAGUGGAGACCAGUGUUUCCCAGGAGGGUGCAGGUGCAAAUGGCAUUCACUACUGCAUCUAUAGCCCAGAAUGCUGACAACAAUAAUUAUUAAUGAUCGAGGCUGCUCUUAUGGCCUGGAAGCAAGACCAUUAAGAAACUAACACCUGAUAAAAGCUACACAGAGACCAUCCAGACCAACUGUAGCAGAUCUAGAAAUUACAGUUGUAGAUGCUGUUCACUGAGGAUAUUUUGGGUCACCUUUUUUAAGUGACUUAUUUUUAUCUACUGCUAAGGAUCCAGGCAAACACUGUGGCUUGGAAGUUGGACUCCAAGAGCAGCCCCCUACCCCCAGGAGUUGUGUCAGACUGAGCAUAUCUCAGCCAUUAGGCCCCAGCACGGACAGAAAAAUGCAUCUUCCCAGGACAUCUUGUUGUAAUCCACAUUAUCCAUGGAAACACAGAGAUAAGGAAGGCUGAGAAGGGAUAAUCAGGACAGGUAAAUAAUAGCCUCAAAUCCAAGCUUACCUAGGAGGUCAUCUCUGUCCAUUUGUGUUUCUGAACAUAGUAUGCAAAGGACUUGCUGUCGUGGGUUGAAUGGUAGUGCUCAAAAUAUCUGCCUAAAUCCCAGAACCUAUGAACGUAACCUUAUUUGGGAAAGGGUCUUUGCAGAUGUAAAUUAAAGAUCUCAACACAAGAUCAUCCUGGAUCAUCCAGGUGGGCCUUCAAUCCAAUGACAGGUGUUCUUAAAAAAGAUAGGCAGGGAGAAACAGACGAGAAGGCCAUGUGAAGAUAGAGGCUGAGAUGGCAGUUAUACAGCUACAACCCAAGGAACACCCAAGGACACCAGAAGAUGGAAGAGGCAAGGAAGGAUUCUCACCUAGAGACCUGAAGGGAGUUCGGUCUUUCUAACACCCUGAUGUCAGAUUUCUGGCCUCCAGAACUAUGAGAGAAUAAGUUUCUGUUAUUUUAAAGCAUCCAGUUUGUGGUAAUAUAUUAUAUCAGCCCUAGGAAAUUAAUACACUUGGCGACUCUCUUUAGCUUGACCCUACUCUUGAUGUCUACCUCCAAGACAAGCAGCAGCCCAGGUAGCAACACCAUUUUUAAUCCUAAAUUCCUCUGUAAGUAUCUUGGCCUCUACUUCAGAUGUGCUCCCUACCACAUUCAAACUAAGGCACCUCCCUGCACCUCUGCUCACCCCACAACUACCCAAGUUUGGAGCAAAGUGCUGGAUCAUGAAAGAGACUGUCCAUCUUCAUGAACAACUCAACCAAUUAGUCUACAAUCUUCCAUUCUAACACAUGCUCCAACUUGGCAAGAUACCAUUCACAACUGUCAAUGCAAUUAUCCUCCCAUCCAGUGCCCAGACACGUGCAGACAAGGUGAAUCAGCAGGUGCCCUUCUGAUGCACCCCCUACAGACACUGCAGUUCUUCCACCUGCUCACUCUCCAUAGAAGUGGUGUACAGCAAAUCGCUCUUUUCUUCCUACACAAUAGCCAUUUCCCUAAAAAUUACCACUUCUCCUCUAACUUUUCUCAGCUCUUCACUCUUUUUGACACAUACCAGAGCUGAGCCCAACACCUGGCACAUAGAAGACAUGCAAAAAAUACUUGCUGAUUGAAUGGGAGCCAGAUAGCUUAGGAGCAUCCAGAAAGAUAUUCUAGAAACUAACUCAUGCACGAAGGAAUGCUUUAAAGACUUUCCCACUGGCACUGCUGCUGCAGCUGGCCUCCUAACACUCUGGACAACUUUCUUUAGCUUGACCUUACUCUUGAUGCCUGUCACCUACUGAUGAUGAAAGCCUGUUUUGGACUCUUCCCUUUGGGCACACAGGUAUAUAUUAAAGCUUGCUUCCAGAGAAUCCUUCCUGUCAAAGAAAGAGGAGUCUAUGAAGUGAACAAGCAAAUUUAAGUACAGCCCCUACCUUCUGGCUAGCCUUCAACAACUUUUCUUCUUCCUCCAUUUGGCCUCACUGGUUACAGACCUUAGUUUCAAAUCUCAGAACACUUGACUUUGAACUAAUGUUUGAACCACCUUCUCCACCUAAUGUUGCUUUCACUAGUUCUCAUGCUAUGCUUUGGGAGAGACAAUCAGAGCAAUGUAAUCAUACAGAUCAAAUAUAGAAUCCCAGCAUCACCUUCAAGCUAUGUGACCUUGAGAAAAUCCCCUGAUUCUUAGAUCUUUCACCUGCCAAACAGAAAAAAGGUAUGAAAUUUGCAGUUUUGUUGGGAGGUUUAAAAAUGCUGAGAGGGUUAGAGAACUGGCAGGAUAGCUGAAACACAAUAAAAGCUCAAAACACGUCAGCUAUUGUUCUUAUUGGACCUACCUCGAUAUUCGUAUUGCAUAU